rnacentral:rRNA from 1 species
GGGUCAGUAGGUUGGUCGUGCCACCGGUACGUACUGGUCUCACUGAUUCCUCCUUCCUGAAGAGCCGUAAUGCCAUUAAUUUGGUGUUGCGGGGAAACAGGACUGUUACUUUGGAAAAAAUUAGAGUGUUUAAAGCAAGCUAACGCUUGAAUACAUUAGCAUGGAAUAAUGAAAUAGGACGAUCGAUCCUAUUUUGUUGGUUUCUAGGAUUGACGUA